UUGGGUUGGCCAAAAAGUUUGUUUGGGUUUUUCUAUAACCGUUUAUGAAAAAUCCAAAUGGACGUUUUGGCUAACUCAAU
rnacentral:miRNA from 1 species